CACACACACACACAGAGAGAGGCAGAGACACAGACACAGGCAGAGGGAGAAGCAGGCUCCAUGCACCGGGAGCCCGACGUGGGAUUCGAUCCUGAGUCUUCAGGAUCGCGCCGGCGCCAAACCGCUGCGCCACCCAGGGGUCCCCAGUCUGGGUUUUAUAUUGACACGAAACUCUAUUCAAAUACUGGCUCUACUACCACAACCGAUGUGAACGUGGACAGGAUCCUUAACUUCUCUGAGCCUCAGUUUCCUUAUAUGCAACAUAAAAAUAACAAACUAAUGGCAGCUUUGCAGAGAUGUUGGAGGAUUAAAUAAAAAGAAAGUAUUUGGAGGAUUUGGCAUCAUUCUGGACACAUAUAAAUGCUCAGUUAAUGGUAGUUAUUACUAUUGUUAUAAAUAUUCAUUAUAAUAUAAAUAAAAGACCUUAAGAUGAUAUCUGGCAUAGAGUAGUGUUCAGUAAGUAGUAGUGAUGGUUUUUAUUCUUAUUGUUAUAGGAACCCUUCAAAACAACAUAAAUCUUCCACCCAUCCCUGUACCUUUAAAGGAGCCUGACUUAACCAAGCCCGAGCUGCUGAAACCCAAUGAAGAUCAAGCUUCUAUAAGAAAGAAUAGCAGGAGAUGCUUCAACUCCCUGGUCCCCAACACUGAAUCACCAGGGGAGCUUCAUCUAAUGUUGUUACCCAGGCCUGGCCUCUUGAGAUCCAAAUCUAAUUGGGCUAUGUAUGAAAACAUCUCAAGGUAAUUUCAUUUAAUGAUUGCAAUAACUGGAGAGGGACAGGGAUGAAGAACUUAAAAGCCCCUGAGUUAAAACCCAGGUCCCCUCUUAAAGGCCCCUUGCUAUAUUGUACUAUUCCCUUUUUUUUUCUUUUGCAGUGAGGCUUGAAGUUCAAGCAGUAGAACACUGCUGACUUCCACCGCUCUUCCAGUAUGGAUUUGAUCUCCUGCAUGUGUCUGUUGUGGAGUGGGGCUCCGAGUGACACACGACCGAUCUUAUGAGCUGGAAGGGUGUGGGUUCCCCAUUCUGAACACAAUGUGAGGCCUUCAUACACUCCUGAUGGGAAAGAGGAAAGAGACUACAGUGUUUGAUAUUUUUUCUUAAAAUACGAGGCUAAUGGAGCAGCCUGACUAAUAUAAUGUUAUUUAUUUUGAUCUAUAACAUACUGUUUGAAAUGUUAGAAUGAAUUUUAAAUUAGCUACAGUAAACAGCAAAGAAAUGUACCAAGAUCGUUCUAGGAAGGGCUUUUCUUUUAAUAACUAGAAUAAUUUUUCAAUUUGAUAUGGAAUUCAGAUACCAGUAGAAGGAGCUAUUGUUGGAUGGUUUAUAUAUAUGAAUAGAUGCUUUUGGGACAGGAUCUUUGAGCACUGGAAGUGGAUUACUAAGCCAUUUACAAUUCAUUACUGCAUUGUAGGUAUUCAUAUCCUUUCCAUUUUUAUCACAUCUUGAGGCCAAGAAUCUUUUAAAAAGGUCAUUUAGCUUUCAGAAAACUAUGAAUUAUGGUGAAAGCAUUGUUCUUUCUCUGACUUUAAUGUGCUCAUUUGGAGAAAAGUUACAGGAAAAUACUUUUGCUUAAGCUCUGAAUCUGACCCUCCUGCAAUCCCUCACAUAAAAUAACUUGUCAUUAAUGACUUCUUGUAUUCUCUGUGCUUGUUGCUGAUUACAUAAAUAUUUUCUUAACCUAAGCUGGCAUCCAGAGUAAAAGGAUGUUUGUCAUUUUUAGAAUUAUAAUCAAAUUGUAGAAACUCAGAUACUGUCUCACCAGAACAAUUUAAGAUUGCUUUGGAAUUCUUGAAUCAAUCAGGGUAGGGGGGAAUUUUACCUGGUAAGUGUCAGGUACAGAAAAUGGUUUUCGUUCCAACAGGAAUGAAGUAAAAUAUUGACCUGUUGUCUUAUGGGUUGACUUUCGAGAUAUACCUCACCCAGGGUGAGCAGUAGCUAAUGAUCAAUAUAAUAAUCACAAUACAAGCAAAAACUUGCUGUAAAAAAUGUCAAAGAUUUAAGUCGAAUGUUUCACUAACUAGCUGUUAAAUAUUUAUUUCCCUUUUCAUUUCUACUCCUUAAGAAGGAAGUGAAGGGACUAAGGUGUAACAUGAGAGGGGUUUGAGGAUGGAUAGAGCUGAUGUACAUUCAACUUUAUUUCAACAUCUUGAAACAACCUUGUUCUUAGUAGUCAUUACAGAAUUAUUUGGUUGCCAUUAUGUGUAAUUCUAGAAUUUGAUCAUAUGAAGAUCAUAAUCAUAAUCACAUUAAAGAGAACAUUAAUAAAGAGAGGUUGACAGCAUAAUAUUUAUUGGAA
ensembl:lncRNA